rnacentral:lncRNA from 1 species
CCCUCUUACUUCUCAAGAGCUUGAUCUGAUCAGAUACAACGCCCGGGCAUCUUGGCAGAAUGAAACACAAUGGUCCAAUUCUUCAGUGACAACAUACUCAGGCAGUUACUGAGAAAAACAACUGGAUGAGUCCACCUGCAGCCGCUUCACUUUUAGAGCAGGACAGCAUGCGCCUGGGUGUAAACGGAUGGUAUUGUCAAACAGCUCUACCCACAAUCCUCUGCUCUGCAGGGCUGGUACCCAAGAGACUAAAGAUGUCAAAGGCUGAUUCCCUGAUAUAACCGGGUCCUUGAAAACUCCACUUGAUGUCAAGCACAGAGUGGCACACCAGAUUUGGUAUUCUGCUGAUUUUCCUCCUGCAUUUCCAAAUUAUAAAAAUUCAUUUUCAGGGACAAUGGGAUUCUAUAAGUAAAGUCGGUUCAUCCGAAGACUCAGAAGCCGAUCAAUAUUCCGAUUAUGGUCGGGGAGGACUGUUAUCGUUACUUUCCUGA